rnacentral:misc_RNA from 1 species
GGAAGGAUCAUUAUUGAAAACCUUUGUAGGUUGUGGUUGAGCUGGCCUUUCGAGGCAUGUGCUUGCUUAACAGCCUUCAAAAAUCUUCAUCCCACCUGUGCACAUUUUGUAGGAAGGAAUGAUUUCCAAAGUAAAGGAACCUCUUCGUGGGGGUUGCUUGAAAGAAGGGGGUCUUUUCUAUCCUAUGUUUUUACACACACAAUUGAAUGUUUAGAAUGUCUUUAUUUUGAAGAGUGUAACAACUCUUUUAAAAACAUAAUACAACUUUCAGCAACGGAUCUCUUGGCUCUCGCAUCGAUGAAGAACGCAGCGAAAUGCGAUAAGUAAUGUGAAUUGCAGAAUUCAGUGAAUCAUCGAAUCUUUGAACGCACCUUGCGCCUCUUGGUAUUCCGAGAGGCAUGCCUGUUUGAGUGUCAUUAAAUUCUCAACUUCAAUAGUUUUUAUAACUUGUUGAGGCUUGGAUGUGGAGGUUUUUGCUGGCUUUCAUUAGUUGGCUCCUCUUAAAUGCAUUAGUGGAGACUGCUUGUGGUCCACAAUUAGUGUGAUAAUUAUCUACGCUACUUAUGGUUGCUGCACGCUUUUGUAGUGUUUCGACUGGGAAGCUGCAUGAAUAGUGCUCUUUCUGCUUCAAUGAACCUGCAGUAGUGAAGUCAUUCUGCUUCUAACUGUCUUCUUGCAAGACAAUUUCCUGACUUUUUGACCUCAAAUCAGGUAGGACUACCCGCUGAACUUAAGCAUAUCAAUAAGCGGAGGAAAAGAAACUAACAAGGAUUCCCCUAGUAACUGCGAGUGAAGAGGGAAAAGCUCAAAUUUAAAAUCUGGCAGCCUCAGGUUGUCCGAGUUGUAAUUUAGAGAAGUGUUACCCGCGCUGGACCGUGUACAAGUCUCCUGGAAUGGAGCGUCAUAGAGGGUGAGAAUCCCGUCUUUGACACGGACUACCAGGGCAUUGUGGUGCGCUCUCGAAGAGUCGCGUUGUUUGGGAAUGCAGCGCAAAAUGGGUGGUAAAUUCCAUCUAAAGCUAAAUAUUGGCGAGAGACCGAUAGCGAACAAGUACCGUGAGGGAAAGAUGAAAAGAACUUUGGAAAGAGAGUUAAACAGUACGUGAAAUUGCUGAAAGGGAAACGCUUGUAGUCAGUCGCGUUGGCCGGGGAUCAGCUCUGCUUCUGUGGGGUGUACUUCCUGGUUAACGGGUCAGCAUCAGUUUCGAUCGCCGGAAAAGGGUUUGAGGAAUGUGGCAACCUCGGUUGUGUUAUAGCCUCUUAUCGUAUACGGCGGCUGGGACUGAGGAACUCAGCACCCUCUGGUGUGCUUAGGAUGCUGGCAUAAUGGCUUUAAGCGACCCGUCUUGAAACACGGACCAAGGAGUCUAACAUGCUUGCGAGUGUUUGGGUGGUAAACCCGAGCGCGUAAUGAAAGUGAAAGUUGGGAUCUCUGUCGUGGAGAGCACCGACGCCCGGACCUGAUGUUUACUGACGGAUCUGCGGUAGAGCACGUAUGUUGGGACCCGAAAGAUGGUGAACUAUGCCUGAAUAGGGUGAAGCCAGAGGAAACUCUGGUGGAGGCUCGUAGCGAUUCUGACGUGCAAAUCGAUCGUCGAAUUUGGGUAUAGGGGCGAAAGACUAAUCGAACCAUCUAGUAGCUGGUUCCUGC